rnacentral:rRNA from 1 species
CUCCUGGAAACGGGUGGUAAUGCCGGAUGCUCCGACAUGACGCAUGUCGUGUUGGGAAAGAUUCAUCGGUAUGGGAUGGGGUCGCGUCCUAUCAGCUUGAUGGCGGGGUAACGGCCCACCAUGGCUUCGACGGGUAGCCGGCCUGAGAGGGCGACCGGCCACAUUGGGACUGAGAUACGGCCCAGACUCCUACGGGAGGCAGCAGUGGGGAAUAUUGCACAAUGGGCGCAAGCCUGAUGCAGCGACGCCGCGUGAGGGAUGGAGGCCUUCGGGUUGUAAACCUCUUUUAUCGGGGAGCAAGCGAGAGUGAGUUUACCCGUUGAAUAAGCACCGGCUAACUACGUGCCAGCAGCCGCGGUAAUACGUAGGGUGCAAGCGUUAUCCGGAAUUAUUGGGCGUAAAGGGCUCGUAGGCGGUUCGUCGCGUCCGGUGUGAAAGUCCAUCGCUUAACGGUGGAUCCGCGCCGGGUACGGGCGGGCUUGAGUGCGGUAGGGGAGACUGGAAUUCCCGGUGUAACGGUGGAAUGUGUAGAUAUCGGGAAGAACACC